UACAGAGGGUGCGAGCGUUAAUCGGAAUUACUGGGCGUAAAGCGUGCGUAGACGGCUAUCUAAGUCGGCUGUGAAAGUCAAGGGCUCAACCCUUGGAAGCCGGCCGAUACUGUCGGACUAGAGUCCGGAAGAGGCGAGUGGAAUUCCUGGUGUAGCGGUGAAAUGCGCAGAUAUCAGGAGGAACACCUAUUGCGAAGGCAGCUCGCUGGGACGUAACUGACGCUGAGACGCGAAAGCGUGGGGAGCAAACAGG
rnacentral:rRNA from 1 species